ACUUACCAUGUUCAGCCGUGUUCACAUUCUUAGAGCACUGUUUCACCAGGAAACUCAGGUUGAUAUGUAGUUCUAGUCCAGUUGCAGUAAAAGUCCAAAGGUCGAUGGAGGUGUAAGCCGUAACUGACUGAUUGAUUCUGUCAGGGAGGAUAAUUCAAGGAUGGAUGUGAGGAGCCGCAUGUCUACAUUUAAUGACAAAGAAUUGGCAGCAAUGUCUGCUGGCUCAAAGGACAAGAGCAUAAGAUUGAAGACAUCAAGCUCAUGCAGUGGACAGAGCGUGACGUCUAAACGGUCCAUUGACAAGCCUAUAGGUUUCAAAGGCAAACAUGAGAAGUCACCAGGAUCUACGUACUCUGCUUGUGAGUCAGAGAAGUCAUCAAAGGAUAUCCCCCUUCAUUUCAGAAAAGAACA